rnacentral:tRNA from 1 species
GCCUCUAUAGCUCAGUGGUUAGAGCAUCGGUUUUGUAAACCGGGGGUCGGGGGUUCAAAUCCCUCUAGAGGCU